rnacentral:rRNA from 1 species
UUGACGGGGAGCACACAACAGGUGGAGCUUGCGGUUUAAUUGGAUUCAACGCCGGAAAUCUUACCGGGACCGACAGCAAUAUGAAGGCCAGGCUGAAGACUUUGCCGGAUUAGCUGAGAGGUGGUGCAUGGCCGUCGUCAGUUCGUACUGUGAAGCAUCCUGUUAAGUCAGGCAACGAGCGAGACCCACGCCCACAGUUGCCAGCGUACUCUCCGGAGUGACGGGUACACUGUGGGGACCGCCGCUGCUAAAGCGGAGGAAGGAAUGGGCAACGGUAGGUCAGUAUGCCCCGAAUAUCCCGGGCUACACGCGAGCUACAAUGGUUGGUACAAUGGGUAUCUACCCCGAAAGGGGACGGGAAUCUCCUAAAACCAAUCUUAGUUCGGAUUGUGGGCUGCAACUCGCCCACAUGAAGCUGGAAUCUGUAGUAAUCGUGUCUCAAAAUGGCACGGUGAAUAUGUCCCUGCUCCUU